CGCGGCCUAUCAGCUUGUUGGUGAGGUAACGGCUCACCAAGGCAACGACGGGUAGCUGGUCUGAGAGGACGAUCAGCCACACUGGGACUGAGACACGGCCCAGACUCCUACGGGAGGCAGCAGUGGGGAAUCUUGCGCAAUGGGGGAAACCCUGACGCAGCGACGCCGCGUGCGGGAUGAAGGCCCUAGGGUUGUAAACCGCUUUCAGCAGGGACGAAAUUGACGGUACCUGCAGAAGAAGGCCCGGCCAACUACGUGCCAGCAGCCGCGGUAAUACGUAGGGGCCAAGCGUUGUCCGGAAUCAUUGGGCGUAAAGAGCUCGUAGGCGGUUUGGUAAGUCGGAUGUGAAAUCUCCACGCUCAACGUGGAGCGGCCAUCCGAUACUGCUAUGACUCGAGUCCGGUAGAGGAGUGUGGAAUUCCCGGUGUAGCGGUGAAAUGCGCAGAGAUCGGGAGGAACACCCGUAGCGAAGGCGACACUCUGGGCCGGUACUGACGCUGAGGAGCGAAAGCGUGGGGAGCGAACAGGAUUAGAUACCCUGGUAGUCCACGCCGUAAACGUUGGGCACUAGGUGUGGGGGUCUAUCGACGACCUCUGUGCCGUAGCUAACGCAUUAAGUGCCCCGCCUGGGGAGUACGG
rnacentral:rRNA from 1 species